UAAUUAAUAUUAUUAAUUUAAUUUUUUUUAAUUAGAUAUUUUAUAAAAGUAAUUUAAAUUUUAAUUGUUUUAGUAUUUAGUAAAAAUAAAUUUUUAGAUUUAUAGUUUAAUAGUAUUGUGAAAGAAUUAUUUAAAUUUUAAAAAGAAUUUUUUUUAGUACCUUUUGUAUCAGGGUUAAUUAAAAAUUUUAAUUUAUAUUUAAAUUCUCAAAAUUUAUAGAGUUAAUUUUAUUAUUAAUUUAUUGUUUUAUAAAUAUUUAAAAAAUAAUUUUAGUUUUGAAAUGUAAUUCGUUAUAUUAUAUUUAGUUAUUUAAGAUUUAAAUUUAAUUUAAAAUUUUAAAAGUUUUAAUUAUAAUUAUAUUUAUUGAAAAUAUUUUAAAUUUAAAUUAUUUUAGGGAUAAGCUUAAGAUUUUUAUAUAAUAAAAAUAUUUAUUGAAUAAUUUUUAGGAAUAGUAAUUUUUAUAGAAGUUUGUAAAAAUUUAUUAUUUAUAUUUAUUUAAUUUAUUAUAAGUUAUUUAUUUUUAAUAUUAAAUUUUAUAAAUUAAUAAUUUAUUUAUAGUAAUAAUGAUUAAAUUAGUAUAAUUAUAUUAUUUAUAAAUUAUGAAUUCGGCAAAAAUUAUUUUCAUCUGUUUAACAAAAACAUAGUAUUAAGUUUUAUUUAAUAUAGAAUCUGCUCAAUGAUUAAAUUAAAUAGCUGCAGUAUUUUGACUGUGCAAAGGUAGCAUAAUAAUUAGUCUUUUAAUUGGGGACUAGAAUGAAAGAUUUGAUGAGAAAUAAACUUUAUUAUUUAUAAAAUUAAAAUUUUAUUUUUAAGUAAAAAAGCUUAAAUAUUUUAAAGGGACGAUAAGACCCUAUAAAACUUUAUAAUUUUUUAUAUUAAAGUUUUUGGUUUAUAUAAAUUUUAAUGUUUUUAAUUAUUUUAUUGGGGUGAUAAAAAAAAUUAUUUAACUUUUUUUAAAAUUUUACAUAAAUUAAUGAAAUAUUUGAAUUAAAAUUUUUAAUUAAAUGAAAAAGUUACUUUAGGGAUAACAGCGUAAUUAGUUUUUUAAGUUCAAAUUUAAAAAUUAGUUUGCGACCUCGAUGUUGAAUUAAGAUAAAUCUUAGGUGCAAAAUUUUAAGUAUUGGGUCUGUUCGACCUUUAAUUUCUUACAUGAUUUGAGUUCAAACCGGUGUAAGCCAGGUUGGUUUCUAUCUUUUAAAAUUAUAUUUAUUUUAGUACGAAAGGAUUAAAUAAUUAAAUAAUAUUUUAUUAUAAUGAAUUAAAUUAAUUUU
rnacentral:rRNA from 1 species